rfam:Hordeum vulgare subsp. vulgare, WGS project CAJW01000000 data, contig: morex_contig_1598183
GUUGAGAAGAGGAAGAAAGAGAGCCUGUGAGCAGUGGGAAUGGGAACAUGGAGGAAACCCUAACCUGCUUUCCCUCCACCUCUAGUGUAGGAGGUGAGAAUUCAGUUUGGUGUUUCCCGAUGCCUCCUAUUCCUAUUGUUCUCAAGCACUCCUUCCUUUUCUUUGGCU